UGCCGGGAACAGGGAGCAUCGCACUCGCAGCAGAUCACGGGGGAAUGCUUCAUUCAGUGAGAAACAGAAAACGCCACCCACCCGCUGCCGGUUGGUCGACGUAAAGCCUUGAAACCAACAAAACAUCACUGACUAACUUAACCAAAUAACUAAUGUUUCCUUUAACACACAUGCUCCGCUCAAGGCCUUCAAGGCAAACUGCUCUCACACAAAUAGAACAUGUCUGAUCUCUGUGGGCGUGCGCUUUGUAAUUAUGGCCGCUGGUCAAUGGCAGGAGUUCACCCAAUCACUCUGGUUCCUCUCAACCCAUUUAAAUGCAACCAAUGAAGAGAAACUUUACACAACACCAAUAUAAAACAACAAAUCACUGUUUAAGUAUAAAAACAAGCCUAAAGCUACAUUUGUAAAACCACAUACACCUAUUUAAUAGGCCAUGGCCACACUCGUGUCUACAUUAUUAUUUAUUAUUUAUUAUUUAUUAUUUAUUAUUUAUUAUUUAUUAUUUAUUAUUUAUUAUUUAUUAUUUAUUAUUGCUGACAGAACAGUUUCUGGGAGGGGGUGGGGGUUAAAUGAAUACAAUUCAGUAAAUGUUGAAUUCUUUUGAUAUCUGUCGUUGACUUGACAAAUAAGUUAUUUGAACUGUGUUGUUUGAUUCAUUUUAAGUCUUGCAUGUCACACGGCUGAGCUACAAACUGUUCGCACGCCAUUAAUGCACUUCACUUGCCGCGCUCCCAUUACGGAGGCUGAAAACAUGCCACUCAUCACCCUCAUCAGUGGAAAACUCGGGGCCUCAGCCUGCGUGAGGCAGCUUAUCACGGGGCGAUCAUAGUCUGAGCCACAGCCGCGGACACCUGCUCUGCAGAGUCACACACUGGGAGGAGGAGACGCCGGCGGAAUACAAAUGAGAGCGGCCGGCGAAGACGAGGAGGGGCAGGAAUAAUAAAGACAGAGGGAGACGGAGCGACUGCAGGCUUUGGUUGGGAAACGCUUAAUUAGCACGGAUGCUCAGAAACCGCUUCCUCUCUGAGUCCCACAUUGUGAAGACACCAGCUCCCGACUGACAGGCUGCUUCCAUGGUGACCUUUGUCUCUCCAGUCUAUUGUCAUGGAUUUGCACAGAGCCCAGUAUAAACUAAAGCAGCCCUGAAAGCCCCAUCCUCUUGUUAUUCAGCUGUUCAGCCUCGGCUUCUUCCAACCAUCACAGGGGAAAACUGAGACGGGGAACCUGAGCGUGCGUUGCUGGAACGUUUCCGAUGGGAAACUGCCCCAGUUUUUGCACAAGAAGCCGUGGACUGACAUACAGUCUCUCCAUUAAGUGCUGUGGGUAAUCUGACUCAGUAGUGGGGUAAUUAGCUAACAGAGGGAGAGUCGCCAGAGAUGACCCACUUUUCACUUGCUAUUCUAAGAACCAUUUAAUGACUGUAAUGUCUUUUAAGCGGCUGUUAUCACCAUUUCAUAUUAAUGGAUGGAGUGACUGGCAGCAUGUGAUGGGCCCACGCGUGGUGUCGGAGCCACUAGGUGUUAUCACCGGGUCGGGUCCAGUGGUUUCAGCAGCACCACGCGUC